GGUUUAGUUAAGUCAGAUGUAGAAACGGCCCGGGGCUACAACCGUACGGUAAUUGCUAUUUAGAAACGUGGACAAACUAGAGUACUGUAGAGGGGGUAGAAUUUCGGGUGUAGCGGUGAAAUGCGUAGAGAUCUGAAGGAAUACCGGUGGCGAAGGCGGCCCCCUGGACAGAUACUGACACUCAGAUGCGAAAGCGUGGGGAGCAAACAGGAUUAGAUACCCUGGUAG
rnacentral:rRNA from 1 species